rnacentral:lncRNA from 1 species
CGAAAUUUGACAUAAUUUUUGAAAUUUUGUGGAACAAUGACAUGUCACAGAAACAUACUUAAUUGAAGGAAAAUUAUAGCAUUACAGAAUUCAAUCUAGAAUGACGAAUCAGGAGUACAGAUUAUAGUCUACAAAUCAAAUAACAGUCCAUAAUUUAGGUUCUACGUCCAGGCCAAUCCGUAGUAUAGUUUAACUACAUCCAAGAUCACAGCAAAAGAACAUACAUCCAAAUGAAUUGUCCACAACUAGUCCUGGACAACAUUUCAUGCAUCCCACAAAAUAACAUUCAGAGUUCUCAUACACCACAAAAUGCAACCAGAAGCUUCCUUCCUCCAUUCUUGUGUCACUUCUGUCACUGGACAGCAGCCUUGCGACCCCAUACGAUGCUCCAAAUGCUUCUACAAAUGCCAAAAUGAUGGUGUAU